rnacentral:rRNA from 1 species
UUAGUUUGCCCAUCAGGUAAAUGGCUGGGGACUCUAAAGGAACUGCCUACGCAAGUAGUGAGGAAGGCGGGGAUGACGUCAAAUCAGCACGGCCCUUACGUCCAGGGCUACACACGUGCUACAAUGGCCGAUACAGAGGGCAGCUACCUGGUGACAGGAUGCAAAUCUCCAAAGUCGGUCUCAGUUCGGAUCGGAGUCUGCAACCCGACUCCGUGAAGUUGGAUUCGCUAGUAAUCGCGCAUCAGCCAUGGCGCGGUGAAUACGUUCCCGGGCCUU